AGAGUUUGAUUAUGGCUCAGAACGAACGCUGGCGGCAUGGAUUAGGCAUGCAAGUCGAACGGUGUAGCAAUACACAGUGGCGGAAGGGUGAGGAACACGUGAAUAAUCUGUCCUCAAGUUGGGAAUAACUUUCCGAAAGGAAAGCUAAUACCGAAUGUGGUUGUUUUAUCGCAUGAUAGGACAACUAAAGAUUUAUCGCUUGAGGAUGAGUUCGCGUCCCAUUAGCUAGUUGGCGGGUAACGGCCCACCAAGGCAGAGAUGGGUAGCUGGUCUGAGAGGAUGAUCAGCCACACUGGGACUGAGACACUGCCCAGACUCCUACGGGAGGCUGCAGUCGAGAAUCUUUUGCAAUGCGCGAAAGCGUGAACCAAAGCAAUGCCGCGUGCCGGAUGAAGGUCUUCGGAUUGUAAACGGCUGUCACUCGGGACGAAAAAUGACGGUACCGAGGGAGGAAGCCACGGCUAACUACGUGCCAGCAGCCGC
rnacentral:rRNA from 1 species